AAGUAAAACAUAGCCACCCAAGCAUAUUACUACUAGAAUUUCAAUCUUUAAAGACAAAACAAUAAUGAUAAACUAGACAUUUUGUCGUAAAUAGCUUUAGUGUACCACUUAUAACGACAAACUUAUCCGUUAAUCAUAUAAUCUGACAAUCAUCAUAAUAUAUUCCAAAAAAAAACAUUAAAAUAAAAUAAAAUAGUCAUAAUUUAUGAAAGAGGACGCGGGAUUAGAGCGCGGGCAUUCAAAUUCCCAAAAGAAUUGAAAGGAACCCCUUCAGCUAUUCGGGCGCUCUUCCUCUGCUCCUACCGAAACCCUUAAUCUUAACUUUUCCUCCAAAAAUUCUCUUCGAAAUAGUCUCCUUAAUUGGAAUGUUAUAAUUCACUCAAUAAAACCUGAAGCGAAAAAUGAUGGAAGGUAUUGUCUUUGUUGAUUCAUCAAAUUUCUCCAAUUGAUGGAUUAAUCUUCUAAAUGUAUAGGGUGUCCGAAAAAAUGCUUCACUAAAGUUCCAUGUUUUGGAAUAAGAAUGUUGUAUGGGAUUGAGCAGCUUAAAUCCACGGUAGCUUUGAAAAUAACGGAUCUACAGGAUGAUAGAUGCAAAGUUACAUAAGGAUCUUUUAAUGGACUUUUCCCUCCUUGUAUGGUCAGUUCACAUGAGGCUUCGGUGUUGAAACUAUAAGAGCAUUCGAUCAGUUGAGAGACAAGGCAAGAUCAUGUCAAAAUUUACAGCAGACUCACCAACAAUCUAUACAGCAUCCAAACCAAAUAGCAACAACUGAACCAGACAUCCUUGCAUGACUCAGCCAGUUCUUACUAAAUGGAAGUGUUUUUUUCCACUUAUUCUUGUACAGUUGUCCAUUAAUUGGUUAUGUGGAAUCCACGCUGUCAAGCUUACUGUUUUGUUUUUGUUUUGAGUCUAUAAGCACCAACAUUCUUGAUUAGAUUAUUAUAUAAGUAUAGGAGGAGUGUUCCUAUAAGUUUAUUGCAUUUAUCAGGUUGGAACAUAAGUAGAUAAGCUCCAUGUUCAUGGAACAUAAGGCCCCUUGGAUUAACAAGCUAGUGUAAUGAUAUAUCUUAUUCAGAUUUGUUAGUAUCUAUUUCUAAGAUAUUAAUUCUGGAGACAUGACUUUAGGGGGUCAUGGGUGUUUCUUGUGUUGUCUUUUUUUUUUUUACUACGGGGAGCUUGUGUGAGUAGUGUUGUUUAUAUGUGGUGUUGUUGUAGGGAGGUGUAGCUGGGAGCUGGAUUUUUGUUUCAGGUUUCCUUGCAGUUGGGCUCUAGAAACUGCUGUCAAAGUGGAUGAUGCAGGUACUUGCCUAUGUAAUUUUCAUAUUCAUGUUCUUUGGAUGGCUUGCUACAGUACCAAACAUUAAAGUGCCGGAGAUGGCGACAAAGGGCCAAACACAUGUGGAAUAGGUGUAUAUUCGCUUGCACAUGUGUUGACAAAAGAACUUCAAUCUUUGGUGAAGAGUUCUAUAGCUAUUCCCACUAUGAAAGGGAUGGGAGAAUAAGGUUACAAAUUUUUGGGGUCGUAUAUGUCGGGCUUAUGAUUGAAAAGAAAUUUGGACUUCCUAUGCUUAUUAAGUACAAUGUCCAGUUUGGAUACCAGAAUGCCAGGGUUCUUGGAAUUACAGCCAAGGGGGAUGACCUUUAAGAAGCACGAGAUAGUAGCCUGAAGGGUUUUAUCGACAAGAUAUCGGCUGGAGAGCCCUCCCCAAAAGCAAUUUUCAUCAAGAUGUUUCAUUUUCGUUAUUUAGAAAUUUUGGAUAUAUAUCGUGAAACAUUAAACUAUAACACGUUAGGGAAGAAAUAGAGAUAAGAGUAGUUGUUUGAACUUUAGAUAGCCCAAUCUUGUUUUCUUAUUACUUUUAUGUAUUAGAUUUUCCCUUGCGUUAUUGCUAAUUGAGAAUACAUAAAGAAGUCUCCAAAUGUUGUAUAUUUAGAUAUUGAAUUUUACCAUUUAAUCACGAUUCUUGAACUUUGGCUGGCUCA